CGCCGUCCUCAUUUGCACUAAAGUUGAUGCUUUGGGGGAAGUUGAGGCCGCGAGAUUGUGCCAAGUCACUUCCAUUGUGUCUUUCUCAAUCUCCCCUCCUGCCGGUUAAUAAUUUCCAAAACCGGGCUGGCACGCAAAAAAAAGCAAUUUACAUUCAUACAGCACAGAGUGGAACUUGUCGCACGGAUUGAACGCCAUUCUGUUUGGAUCAGAUUCAUUGUCUGACUCGGCCACCACAACAUCGAUGUUGACUUGUCCAACGCGUGGAAUCCGCUUUUGUUUAAUAUACUUCUCGCAUGUAAAAUGUGAAUAGGUAUAACGUGAAACUGAGACAAGAAAAUCAUGAGACUGUGCAGUCCGCGUCGAAUUGAUUCUCGUCUGCUUUAUGAAGGGAGAAACAAAUACGCUGUGUUAGUAAAUACUGUCGCCUGGAAAUGGGAAGAUUCAAAUGCAGUAUCAUCUGCUUGUUUGAACUGCUGUGAUUCACAAAUAUAUCACAGUGCAGUGCAUGUUAGGUUCUGUUUUCCCCCCAGAAAUGGAACCCGUUAAGCGUUCGAAGCUGACUGUGCAGCGCAAUCUCUGAGGCAGUUGCUUUGGACCAACAUGCUCCUUUAGUUUCCUCCGUGUACUAUGUCGUGUUAUCAGAAUCUGUCUUCACAACCGAGACAUCGGUGCAACCCUUCCUUCCUGAAUACUUUCCUGUCUGCAUCCUGCAUAAGCUUCUAUGCACGCAUAAUCUCAGAUCUUCAAAAAGAACUGCGCUCGUCUUGCCUUGAACCUGCGCCAUCGUGUUCAAGCAAGUUUCUGUCUAUCGUUUCAAUGUAGCUGUACUAUGAAAGCAUUAAGGGGUUUUACUCCAUCAUUUUGUAAAUCAAAAUUUAAAAAGAACUAUUUGUAUUUACAUUAUUAAACAGUUUAUUUGUC